rnacentral:rRNA from 1 species
GACGAACGCUGGCGGCGUGCCUAAUACAUGCAAGUCGAGCGGACUGAUUAAGAGCUUGCUCUUAUGACGUUAGCGGCGGACGGGUGAGUAACACGUGGGCAACCUGCCCUGUAGAUCGGGAUAACACCGAGAAAUCGGUGCUAAUACCGGGUAAUAUCUGAGAUCACAUGAUCUUAGGUUAAAAGAUGGCUCCGGCUAUCACUACAGGAUGGGCCCGCGGCGCAUUAGCUAGUUGGUAAGGUAAUGGCUUACUAAGGCGACGAUGCGUAGCCGACCUGAGAGGGUGAUCGGCCACACUGGGACUGAGACACGGCCCAGACUCCUACGGGAGGCAGCAGUAGGGAAUCUUCCGCAAUGGACGAAAGUCUGACGGAGCAACGCCGCGUGAGUGAUGAAGGGGUUCGGCUCGUAAAGCUCUGUUGUUAGGGAAGAAACAGUACCGAACGAACUAGGUCGGUACCUUGACGGUACCUAACCAGAAAGCCACGGCUAACUACGUG